GAUUUCAACUGAAAAAGUCAUCAACAACAAAGUUGUAUAACUCAUCAAGAUCUAUAACUUUUAUUUUGGUCAUUUCUUCAUCCGCAAAGAGAUAGUAACAUUGUUCACAAAAUUUACAUAUCUCUCAUUUGGUUUAUAAACUAUAAGAGAGAUAUGUAAAUUUUGUGAACAAUAUUACUAUCACUUUAUCGGAUGAAGAAAUAACGAAAAUAAAAGUUGUAUGUCUUGAUGAGUUCUACAACUUUUAUGUUCAUGACUUUUUCAGCUGAAAUU
rfam:Oryza rufipogon genomic scaffold, chr11